rnacentral:rRNA from 1 species
AGAACGAACGCUGGCGGCGUGGAUAAGACAUGCAAGUCGAACGCGACUUAUUUGAUUAGCAAUAAUUGAGUGAGUUGAGUGGCGAAAGGGUGCGUAACACGUGGGAAUUUACCAAGAAGUGGGGAAUAGCUCGACGAAAGUCGAAUUAAUACCGCAUAUGAUCGCAAGAUCAAAGCCGGGGACCGCAAGGCCUGGCGCUUUUUGAGAAGCCCGCGGCCCAUCAGCUAGUUGGCGGGGUAAAAGCCCACCAAGGCUAUGACGGGUAGCUGGUCUGAGAGGACGACCAGCCACACUGGAACUGAGACACGGUCCAGACACCUACGGGUGGCAGCAGUCGAGAAUUUUUCACAAUGGACGAAAGUCUGAUGGAGCGACGCCGCGUGGAGGAUGAAGGUUUUCGGAUUGUAAACUCCUGUCACUGCAGAACAAGGAUAUGUUGUGAAUAGCAGAUGUAUUGAUGGUAUGCGGAGAGGGAAGGGACGGCU